rnacentral:rRNA from 1 species
AUACGGAGGGUGCAAACGUUGUUCGGAAUCACUGGGCGUAAAGGGCGCGCAGGCGGUUUGAUUAGUCAGAUGUGAAAGCCCACGGCUCAACCGUGGAAGUGCAUUUGAAACUGUCAGACUUGAGUACUAGAGGGGAAAGUGGAAUUCCCGGUGUAGAGGUGAAAUUCGUAGAUAUCGGGAGGAAUACCGGUGGCGAAGGCGACUUUCUGGCUGAAUACUGACGCUGAGGCGCGAAAGCGUGGGGAGCAAACAGGAUUAGAAACCCCAGUAGUCC